rnacentral:rRNA from 1 species
AUUGAACGCUGGCGGCAGGCCUAACACAUGCAAGUCGAGCGGAUGAAGAGAGCUUGCUCUCUGAUUUAGCGGCGGACGGGUGAGUAAUGCCUAGGAAUCUGCCUGGUAGUGGGGGAUAACGUUCCGAAAGGAACGCUAAUACCGCAUACGUCCUACGGGAGAAAGCAGGGGACCUUCGGGCCUUGCGCUAUCAGAUGAGCCUAGGUCGGAUUAGCUAGUUGGUGAGGUAAUGGCUCACCAAGGCUACGAUCGGUAACUGGUCUGAGAGGAUGAGCAGUCACACUGGAACUGAGACACGGUCCAGACUCCUACGGGAGGCAGCAGUGGGGAAUAUUGGACAAUGGGCGAAAGCCUGAUCCAGCCAUGCCGCGUGUGUGAAGAAGGUCUUCGGAUUGUAAAGCACUUUAAGUUGGGAGGAAGGGCAGUAAGUUAAUACCUUGCUGUUUUGACGUUACCGACAGAAUAAGCACCGGCUAACUUCGUGCCAGCCGCCGCAGUAACAC